AAACGACUCUCGGCAACGGAUAUCUCGGCUCUCGCAUCGAUGAAGAACGUAGCGAAAUGCGAUACUUGGUGUGAAUUGCAGAAUCCCGUGAACCAUCGAGUUUUUGAACGCAAGUUGCGCCCGAAGCUUCUGGCUAAGGGCACGUCUGCCUGGGCG
rnacentral:rRNA from 1 species